UACAGAGACUGCAAGCGUUAUUCGGAUUUACUGGGCGUAAAGGGUGCGCAGGCGGUCGAAUGUGUGGAAUGUGAAAGCCUAAAGCUUAACUUUAGAAUUGCAUUCUAAACUAUUCGUCUAGAGCAUUGAAGAGAGUAGCAGAAUUCACGGUGUAGCAGUGAAAUGCGUAGAUAUCGUGAGGAAUACCAAUGGCGAAGGCAGCUACUUGGGCAAUUGCUGACGCUCAGGCACGAAAGCGUGGGGAGCAAAAGGG
rnacentral:rRNA from 1 species